CCCUUAGAUGUUCUGGGCUGCACGCGCGCUACACUGAUGCACUCAACGAGUCUAUCCUUGACCGACAGGUCCGGGUAAUCUUUGAAUCUGCAUCGUGACGGGGAUAGAUUAUUGCAAUUAUUAAUCUUCAACGAGGAAUGCCUAGUAGGCGCAAGUCAUCAGCUUGCGUCGAUUACGUCCCUGCCCUUUGUACACACCGCCCGUCGCUCCUACCGAUUGGGUGUGCUGGUGAAAUGUUCGGAUCGGCCGUUUGUCGCGGUUUCCGCGUCAUGUGGCUGAGAAGUUCAUUAAACCCUCCCACCUAGAGGAAGGAGAAGUCGUAACA
rnacentral:rRNA from 1 species